CCUACGGGAGGCAGCAGUGGGGAAUAUUGGGCAAUGGGCGCAAGCCUGACCCAGCAACGCCACGUGAAGGAAGAAGGCUUUCUGGUUGUAAACUUCUUUUAAUAGGGAAGAGCAGAAGACGGUACCUCUUGAAUAAGCCACUGCUAACUACGUGCCAGCAGCCGCGGUAAUACGUAGGUGGCAAGCGUUGUCCGGAUUUACUGGGGGUAAAGGGCGUGCAGCCGGGAAGACAAGUCAGAUGUGAAAUCCCGCGGCUCAACCGCGGAACUGCAUUUGAAACUGUUUUUCUUGAGUACCGGAGAGGUCAUCGGAAUUCCUUGUGUAGCGGUGAAAUGCGUAGAUAUAAGGAAGAACACCAGUGGCGAAGGCGGAUGACUGGACGGCAACUGACGGUGAGGCGCGAAAGCGUGGGGAGCAAACAGGAUUAGAUACCCCAGUAGUC
rnacentral:rRNA from 1 species